rnacentral:rRNA from 1 species
CAGCGGGAUAACCCGGAGAAAUCCGGCCUAAUACCGCAUGUGGCCGAGGGAAGGCAUCUUCUUUCGGCCAAAGGAGGCGACUCCGGAGACGGAUGGGCAUGCGUGACAUUAGCUUGUUGGCGGGGUAACGGCCCACCAAGGCGACGAUGUCUAGGGGUUCUGAGAGGAAGGUCCCCCACACUGGUACUGAGACACGGACCAGACUCCUACGGGAGGCAGCAGUGAGGAAUAUUGGUCAAUGGGCGAGAGCCUGAACCAGCCAAGUCGCGUGAAGGAUGACGGCCCUACGGGUUGUAAACUUCUUUUGUCAGGGAGCAAUUGGGUCCACGUGUGGGCUUAGCGAGAGUACCUGAAGAAAAAGCAUCGGCUAACUCCGUGCCAGCAGCCGCGGUAAUACGGAGGAUGCGAGCGUUAUCCGGAUUUAUUGGGUUUAAAGGGUGCGUAGGCGGAAUAUCAAGUCAGCGGUAAAAAUUCGGGGCUCAACCCCGUCGUGCCGUUGAAACUGAUGUUCUUGAGUGGGCGAGAAGUAUGCGGAAUGCGUGGUGUAGCGGUGAAAUGCAUAGAUAUCACGCAGAACUCCGAUUGCGAAGGCAGCAUACCGGCGCCCAACUGACGCUGAAGCACGAAAGCGUGGGUAUCGAACAGGAUUAGAUACCCUGGUAGUCCACGCAGUAAACGAUGAAUACUAAUUGUCCGGAGGGAUUGACCUCUGGGUGAUACAG